rnacentral:sRNA from 1 species
ACGUUUUCCAUCACCAUUAACGGGCGUUGCUCAAUGGAUUUUCCGUUAAGCUGGAAAUCGAUGGUGCCGACAACCUGCCCUUUCUUCAAU